rnacentral:rRNA from 1 species
AUUGAACGCUGGCGGCAGGCCUAACACAUGCAAGUCGAGCGAGCGGCGGACGGGUGAGUAAUGUAUGGGAAUCUGCCUGAUGGAGGGGGAUAACUACUGGAAACGGUAGCUAAUACCGCAUACCAUCAGAUGUGCCCAUAUGGGAUUAGCUGGUAGGUGGGGUAACGGCUCACCUAGGCGACGAUCCCUAGCUGGUCUGAGAGUAUGAGCAGCCACACUGGAACUGAGACACGGCCCAGACUCCUACGGGAGGCAGCAGUGGGGAAUAUUGCACAAUGGGCGCAAGCCUGAUGCAGCCAUGCCGCGUGUGUGAAGAAGGCCCUAGGGUUGUAAAGUACUUUCAGUGGGGAGGCGUUACCGGCAGAAGAAGCACCGGCUAACUCCGUGCCAGCAGCCGCGGUAAUAC